rnacentral:rRNA from 1 species
UACGGGGGGAGCAAGCGUUGUUCGGAUUUACUGGGCGUAAAGGGCGCGUAGGCGGCUACCGCAAGUCGACUGUGAAAUCUCCGGGCUUAACCCGGAAAGGUCAGCCGAUACUGCGGGGCUAGAGUGCAGAAGGGGCAACUGGAAUUCUCGGUGUAGCGGUGAAAUGCGUAGAUAUCGAGAGGAACACCUGCGGCGAAGGCGGGUUGCUGGGCUGACACUGACGCUGAUGCGCGAAAGCUAGGGGAGCGAACGGG